UGGGGAAUAUUGCACAAUGGGCGCAAGCCUGAUGCAGCCAUGCCGCGUGUAUGAAGAAGCCUUCGGGUUGUAAAGUACUUUCAGUCGGGAGGAAGGUGGUAAGGUUAAUAACCUUGGCAAUUGACGUUACCGACAGAAGAAGCACCGGCUAACUCCGUGCCAGCAGCCGCGGUAAUACGGAGGGUGCAAGCGUUAAUCGGAAUUACUGGGCGUAAAGCGCACGCAGGCGGUCUGUCAAGUCGGAUGUGAAAUCCCCGGGCUCAACCUGGGAACUGCAUUCGAAACUGGCAGGCUAGAGUCUUGUAGAGGGGGGUAGAAUUCCAGGUGUAGCGGUGAAAUGCGUAGAGAUCUGGAGGAAUACCGGUGGCGAAGGCGGCCCCCUGGACAAAGACUGACGCUCAGGUGCGAAAGCGUGGGGAGCAAACAGG
rnacentral:rRNA from 1 species